GAAGCCUUAGUAACAAAUAUUACAUGGCCCUGUCAGAGCUAAAUUAUGGACACCUAAACCCAUAGGCCUCA
rnacentral:tRNA from 1 species